rnacentral:rRNA from 1 species
UACGAGAGGCGCAAACGUUAUUCGGAUUUACUGGGCUUAAAGAGUUCGUAGGCGGCGCAGAAAGUAGGGUGUGAAAGCCCCCGGCUCAACCGAGGAAUUGCGCUCUAAACUACUGUGCUUGAGGGACCUAGAGGUGAGCGGAACUGAUGGUGGAGCGGUGAAAAUGCGUUGAUAUCAUCAGGAACACCGGAGGCGAAAGGCGCUCACUGGGGGUCUUCUGACGCUGAGGAACGAAAGC